rnacentral:rRNA from 1 species
CCUAGUAACGGCGAGUGAAGCGGGAAGAGCUCAAGCUUAAAAUCUGGGGCGCUUGCGUCUUCAGAAUUGUAGUUGAGAGAAGUGUUUUCACCGGGACGAGCGAUGGCCUAAGUUGCUUGGAACAGCACGUCAUAGAGGGUGAGAAUCCCGUCUGUGGUUGGUUGCUCCCUCGGAACGAUGCACUUUCGAAGAGUCGGGUUGUUUGGGAAUGCAGCCCAAAAUGGGUGGUAAACUCCAUCUAAAGCUAAAUACUGCCACGAGACCGAUAGCGAACAAGUACCGUGAGGGAAAGAUGAAAAGCACUUUGAAAAGAGAGUUAAAAGCACGUGAAACCGUUGAAAGGGAAACGCGCUCGGCUAGCAAUGCGCGCCUGUGGUUCAGCCGGCUAAUCUUGUGAGUUGGCGUGUGGCGGAUCCGAAUGGACCGUCCGCGUCAGCAUCGCGGGGCGAGCUGUGGUGCACUCCAUGGGCGUGCGCGUCAGCGUCGGUUCCAGACGAGCGACAAGGUGAUUGGGGAAGGUAGCUCGGUUCUUCGGAUCCGAGUGUUAAGACCCUUUUGCUGGGUUCGUCGUGGGACCGAGGAGAGAGAUGAUCGCUGCGGCACCUGCCUCUCGGGGCUAGCCAGCUGCUGUUAGAUGUGCGUCAGGCGUCGAGGACUGCACGCAGUGCUUGGUGUUGAGGCGUGGUCUAGUGGUGGUGUGGGUAUAGAGGUGCCUAGGACGCUGGCGUCCAAAUGGCCGUGCGCGACCCGUCUUGAAACACGGACCAAGGAGUCUAACAUGUGCGCGAGUCUUAGGGUGUACAAGCCCUCGGGCGGAAUGAAAGUGAAGGUUCGGCGCUGGUCGAGCUGAGGUGAGAGCUGUACGUGGAAUGAUUGCCACCGCGGCGCAUCAUCGGCCGGUCCAUCCUGCUCUCAGGAGGAUCCGAGCAAGAGCGUAUUUGUUGGGACCCGAAAGAUGGUGAACUAUGCCUGAAUAGGGUGAAGCCAGAGGAAACUCUGGUGGAGGCUCGUAGGGAUUCUAACGUGCAAAUUGAUCUCAAAAUUUGGGUAUAGGGCGAAAGACUA